rnacentral:rRNA from 1 species
GAUAGAGGCCUACCAUGGUGGUAACGGGUAACGGGGUGUUAGGGCACGACACCGGAGAGGGAGCCUGAGAAACGGCUACCACAUCCAAGGAUGGCAGCAGGCGCGCAAAUUACCCAAUCCCGACACGGGGAGGUAGUGACAAUAAAUAACAAUACGGGGUUCUUUCGGAUCUCGUAAUUGGAAUGAGUACAAUUUAAAUCUCUUAACGAGGAACAAUUGGAGGGCAAGUCUGGUGCCAGCAGCCGCGGUAAUUCCAGCUCCAAUAGCGUAUAUUAAAGUUGUUGCAGUUAAAAAGCUCGUAGUUGAAUUUCGGGGUUAGUAGGUUGGUCAUGCCUCCGGUAUGUACUGGUCUCACUGAUUCCUCCUUCCUUAUGAACCGUAAUGCCAUUAAUUUGGUGUUGCGGGGAAUUUGGACUGUUACUUUGAAAAAAUUAGAGUGUUUAAAGCAAGCUAACGCUUGAAUCCAUUAGCAUGGAAUAAUGAAAUAGGACGUUCGAUCUUAUUUUGUUGGUUUCUAGGAUUGACGUAAUGAUUAAUAGGGAUAGUUGGGGGCAUUAGUAUUCAAUUGUCAGAGGUGAAAUUCUUGGAUUUAUUGAAGACUAACUACUGCGAAAGCAUUUGCCAAGGAUGUUUUCAUUAAUCAAGAACGAAAGUUAGGGGAUCGAAGACGAUCAGAUACCGUCGUAGUCUUAACCAUAAACUAUGCCGACUAGGGAUCGGAUGA